rfam:Actinobacterium acAcidi AMD-COM-C2409, whole genome shotgun sequence.
UGAGUAGGUCGGAUGAUCGCGGGUAUUGGUGCUUGCACCACUAUCUGAGGAAAGUCGGGGCUUCACAGGACAGAGUGCCGGCGAGAGUCGGGUCGGGGCAACUUGACGCAAGGUUCAACAGAGAACAAACCGCCGAUGAGCGCAGUCGCAAGAUUGCGAAACAGGUAAGGGUGAAACGGUGCGGUAAGAGCGCACCAGCACGUGAGGCAACUUGCGUGGCUUGGGGCCACCAUUCGAAGCAAGACCAUGCAGUGGGCAUGAGCUGUCCGUUCGUUUGUUGUUUACAACAAACAACCCACGGGUAGGUUGCAUAGAGGGAUGAUCAUCGAUUACAGAACCCCGCUUACAGACCAACUCACCGU